AGAGCGGAGUUUUCGUCAAACCGGAGAGCUUUCGCACCCUGGCAUUCCCCAAUUCUCUUUUCCUCUCCGUUCCGCUUCUUCUUCCUCUCUCUGCUUCUCUCCGAGGGGGAUGGAAGAGUCGCGUUAGGGCUUUCGAUUCUUUUUGUUUUAUAUAUAGCGAGGAUCAGAAGGUACUGCCAUGGCUCCAAGCACUUUUCAGGAACUGGAGCUGCUGAACUGCUCCUUGAAUUUAGAAGAAGUUAUGCUAGAUAGGAGUUGGGAGGAUGUGCUGUGUCCCAUAUGUUUAGACUUUCCCCACAAUGGAGUUCUUCUUUGUUGCUCCUCUUACAAAAAGGGUUGUCGGCCUUUUAUAUGCGACACGGACUGUGCACAUUCAAACUGUCUUGAUAGAUUCAAGAGUGCAUAUGGGAUGUCUGAAGAAACAAGGGAUUUAGAGGCUUUAGGUGGUAGCUCUAGUGAUAGUUCGCAGUCAACAACUCCAAGAUCUUAUGACUUGCCCUUGUGCCCAUUAUGCAGAGGUGAAGUUAUGGGAUGGAUUAUUAUCAAUGAGGUGCGUACACAUUUGGAUGCCAAAGAACGUUUUUGCGCAGAGGAGAACUGUAAGUUUUGUGGAAACUAUGCAGAACUACGAAAGCACAUGGUUUCUUGUCAUCCUCUUGCUCGUCCAUCAGAAGUGGAUCCUGCACGAAAGUUAGAGUGGGAGAACUUUCAAAGAUCAUCCGAGCUAAUAGAUGUUCUCAAUACAAUUCAUUUGGAAGUUCCUAAUGGGGUUGUACUUGGUGAUUAUGUGAUUGAGUAUGCAGAAAAUGAGACUGCUGAUGAUUAUGAUGAUUAUCAUGGAUAUGAAGGCAAUCGGUGGACAUCUUGCUUUGUCCAUCAAGUGUUUGAUCCGAUAUUCAAUUUCAGGGGAAGGAAUAGACGAAGGUCAGGAUCAAGGGGAACGAGGUCACAUGGUCAACAAUGGGAAGAUGCUUCAGGUCCACCUGAAGAUGCUACUGGUUCUGUUGGAUAUAGUUUUAGGGUUAGCGAUGAAUUUGUACAAAGAGAUGCUUCUGCAAGGAGUCACAGAAGGUCACUGUCUUAAUCUCAUUCUUCUAUAGGACCAAAUGGUCUUUCUGGCUGGCAACUUUGCUGAAGAUAUCUCUUGUUUGCAAGCCAAAAGAAGGGUACUUCUCUUUAAACGUGAAGCAUGUGCAGGUCGAGGAGGAGACAUCGUUCUCGGGUUCAAGACAACUAGUCCCUUCUGGGCACAUUAAUUGUGGUUUCUACAUCUCUGUACAUGAUCUCCAUAUGGCUGUAAAUUUCACAGAUGUUUAGUUUUCUUGAAAUUUCUUUUGCAAUUGCAUUGUUGCUCCGUGCAGCCAUGAAAUUUGUUAUCUGACUGGCACAUUGUUUGGUAGUUGGACAAGCUUACUUAUUGCAUCACUCUAAUAAUGCCUGAAAUUAUCAAGCUGAA